UAUUGGAUUUCCAGGAGAAAUAUCAAAUCUUCCAGAUAAUAAAAUGCCUCCGAGAGAUUUAUUUUUGUUAAUACAAUGUGAUCACAUGAUCAGAUCAUAUGGUACUUAUGGCUUAUGGGGAGGAUUAUGGAGCACAGGAACCGUUAUGUUUGCCUACACUGGCCGACAUAUUUUAGAUGAAAAAUGGUCUCUUCGUGUCAACAGUUCAAGUUGGGAAGCAGUUGACCUUAAUAGAUUUAUGAAAUCAACAACAACAACAACAA